rnacentral:rRNA from 1 species
UACGAAGGGGACUAGCGUUGUUCGGAUUACCGGGGGUUAAGGGGACGUAGGGGGAUUUGUAAGGCAGGGGUGAAAUCCCGGGGCUCAACCUCGGAACUGCCUUUGAUACUGCAAGUCUCGAGUCCGAUAGAGGUGGGUGGAAUUCCUAGUGUAGAGGUGAAAUUCGUAGAUAUCAGGAGGAACACCGGUGGCGAAGGCGGUUCUCUGGGCUGCACCUGACGCUGAACUGCGAAAGCCAGGGGAGCGAACGGG